rnacentral:rRNA from 4 species
CCCCGGUAAACGGCGGCCGUAACUAUAACGGUCCUAAGGUAGCGAAAUUCCUUGUCGGGUAAGUUCCGACCUGCACGAAUGGCGUAAUGAUGGCCAGGCUGUCUCCACCCGAGACUCAGUGAAAUUGAACUCGCUGUGAAGAUGCAGUGUACCCGCGGCAAGACGGAAAGACCCCGUGAACCUUUACUAUAGCUUGACACUGAACAUUGAGCCUUGAUGUGUAGGAUAGGUGGGAGGCUUUGAAGUGUGGACGCCAGUCUGCAUGGAGCCGACCUUGAAAUACCACCCUUUAAUGUUUGAUGUUCUAACGUGGACCCGUAAUCCGGGUUGCGGACAGUGUCUGGUGGGUAGUUUGACUGGGGCGGUCUCCUCCUAAAGAGUAACGGAGGAGCACGAAGGUUGGCUAAUCCUGGUCGGACAUCAGGAGGUUAGUGCAAUGGCAUAAGCCAGCUUGACUGCGAGCGUGACGGCGCGAGCAGGUGCGAAAGCAGGUCAUAGUGAUCCGGUGGUUCUGAAUGGAAGGGCCAUCGCUCAACGGAUAAAAGGUACUCCGGGGAUAACAGGCUGAUACCGCCCAAGAGUUCAUAUCGACGGCGGUGUUUGGCACCUCGAUGUCGGCUCAUCACAUCCUGGGGCUGAAGUAGGUCCCAAGGGUAUGGCUGUUCGCCAUUUAAAGUGGUACGCGAGCUGGGUUUAGAACGUCGUGAGACAGUUCGGUCCCUAUCUGCCGUGGGCGCUGGAGAACUGAGGGGGGCUGCUCCUAGUACGAGAGGACCGGAGUGGACGCAUCACUGGUGUUCGGGUUGUCAUGCCAAUGGCACUGCCCGGUAGCUAAAUGCGGAAGAGAUAAGUGCUGAAAGCAUCUAAGCACGAAACUUGCCCCGAGAUGAGUUCUCCCU